rnacentral:rRNA from 1 species
UUCGGGCAUGAACUCUGUAAUGAUCCUCUUCCGUAGGUGAACCUGCGGAAUGGAUCAUUACAGACUUCAUGCCCGAAAGGGUAGACCUCCCACCCUUGUGUAUUAUUACUUUGUUGCUUUGGCGAGCUGCCUUCGGGCCUUGUAUGCUCGCCAGAGAAUACCAAAACUCUUUUUAUUAAUGUCGUCUGAGUACUAUAUAAUAGUUAAAACUUUCAACAACGGAUCUCUUGGUUCUGGCAUCGAUGAAGAACGCAGCGAAAUGCGAUAAGUAAUGUGAAUUGCAGAAUUCAGUGAAUCAUCGAAUCUUUGAACGCACAUUGCGCCCCUUGGUAUUCCGGGGGGCAUGCCUGUUCGAGCGUCAUUUCAACCCUCAAGCUUAGCUUGGUAUUGAGUCUAUGUCAGUAAUGGCAGGCUCUAAAAUCAGUGGCGGCGCCGCUGGGUCCUGAACGUAGUAAUAUCUCUCGUUACAGUGCUUCUGCCAAAACCCAAAUUUUUCUAUGGUUGACCUCGGAUCAGGUAGGAGACCGUACCCGCUGAACUUAAGCAUAUCAAUAAGGCGGAGGAAGAA